rnacentral:lncRNA from 1 species
GUGGAAGUUUUAUGCAAUAAUCAUAAAUAGUUUCUGAGAAAGUUUUAAGCAAUAACCAUAUAUUGUUUUUGAGACACGGUGGGACAUGUGAAACCCCCAACCCUGUUUUUUUUUUUACAAAAAACUAAAUAUCAUUAAAAUAAAGUUUUGAAUCAAAACCAAAAAGUAUACAGAUCUUUAGAUUAAUAUAACAAAGAAGUGUGUAAAGUUUUAAGCAAUAAUCAUAAAUUAUUUUUGAGAUACGGCGCGACAUGUAAAAAAAACCUCCCCUGUUUAACAAAAUACUCAAUAACUCCAAAAUAAAGUUUUGAAUCAUCACCAAAAAGUAAACAGAUCUUUAGAUUAAUAUAACAAAGAAGUGUGUAAAGUUUUAAGCAAUAAUCAUAAAUUGUUUUUGAGAUACGGCACAACAUGUAAAAAAAAACCUCCCCUUUUUUUACAAAAUACUCAAUAACUCAAAAAUGAAAUUUUGAAUCAUCACCAAAAAGUAUACAGAUCUUUAGAUUAAUAUAACAAAGACAUGUGUAAAAUUUUAAGCAAUAAUCAUAAAUAGUUUUUGAGAUAUGGUGCGACAUGUAAAAAAAACCCUCCCCCUUUUUUACAAAAUACUCAAUAACUCAAAAAUAAAAUUUUGAAUCAUCACCAAAAAGUAUACAGAUAUUAAGAUUAAUAUAACUAAGAAGUGUUUAAAGUUUUAAGCCAUAAUCAAGAAUCGUUUUUGAGAUACGGUGCGACAUGUGAAAAAAAAACACACCCCUGUUUUAGUUACAAAGUGCCGUAACUCAAAAAGUUUUAAUCUUAUUUUCACCAAAAAGUAUACAGAUCAUUUGACCAUCAUAAGAAACAACUAUGUUAAGUUUCAUAAAAUUUGGAUAAGUCGUUCUCAAGUUACGGUGCAACAUGUUUACGCCGGACAGACAGACGGACGGACACCGGACAUUUGUAUACC